rnacentral:lncRNA from 1 species
GGAUAUACACCAACAUGUAACGAUACUUAACAGUAGAUGGGGGAGUUGAAGGUGGCUGGCAUUUCUACAAUUCUUUUCUGUGGGGGUUUUUUUAUUUUUCUUUCUUUUAAAAUUUCACAGCGGACUGUAUUAUUUAAAUUGCCAUUUUCUAAAAAGAAAGGAAAACAAAUAGGUUUCUUUCUCUGACUUCCCUACCCCUCACCAACUUCAUCCGCUUUCUGGGGAAGCAGGAGAUCCCCUGUCCAGGGUCCCGGGGCCUGGCCUCACCCCAAGUGCGGUGCGCGGUGGAGGGCAGCCGUCGGAGCGGCUGGACCCACUGACCGCGAGCUGGGAGAAAGAGUCGGGCUCCCCAUCAGUCUGCCCGUGAAGACCGGCCCUGCCCCUGGUGUCUGAGGACUCAGUCUGGGCUUGUCCACCGACCUACGCCUGGAGAGGAAAAGCUGUGCGGUGCUGUGGACAGGUGCCUGGGCCCCUCUACUGCUUCUGCACUUGAGUCGCGGAGAAAGACAAGUUGUGUUGAUUGCUGAUCUCGGGGCCCAUGAGUCCGGGUCUCCCGAGAGUAGCCUUCUUCCCUGCCACGUGUGGAGAGCCUGCUUAUGGAAUAAAGCCAAGCAGAAAAGAUAACUUUGUUGAAUCCUUCUGUCCAGCCAUUCCUGAAACUGCUUUCCUAGAAAAGAGCCGGUACAUUCCCUUUCCUUUUUAAGUGGGCACGAGUUGGGUUUCUGUCUCGGGAAACGGAAGGAACCCUGCCCAGCUUCCUGGAGGGGACAUCUACCGGACGAAAACUGGUGGUCAGCGAAAAUAUCUGGAAGAGUUCCUGGGUCAUGACCUGGUCCCUCCAUCACUGCUGGGUCACUUCCCUGGAUCCCCAAACAGACCGGAAAAAAACCACUUGCAGAGGGACGAUGAUGAUAGAAUGAGAUUCUUGCUAUUUAUAGUCGUCCAACAACCGCUUAUUUUGAGCCCCUACUCUGUGCCGGGCAUCGUUGUAGGCUCUGGGGACCCAGCAGGGGACAAAACAGACCACAUCCCGGUCCUGACGGAGCCAAUGUUAUCACAGGGCCGCCAUGACCUAAACAAGUAAGUAAAAUACUGAUGUAUGGGAUGAUGAUAGGGGCCGUGGAACGUA